UCAGGAUGAACGCUGGCGGCGUGCCUAAGACAUGCAAGUCGAGUGGGUUUAGGCCCACGGCGAACGGGUGAGUAUAACUCAGGAAUUUUAUUUAGGCGGGGCAUAAUCAGUCGAAAGGCUGGAUAAUUCCCCAUAGUCCCAGUGCGGAGUACUGGAAAUUCCAAAACACAAGUUCCAAAUUUCAAACAAGUUCCAAAUUUCAAUUUCAAAAUAUCAAACUAAAAGUUUUGGAUAUUGAGCUUUGAACAUUAAGCAUUGUUUGUUAUUUGUUUCUUGAUAUUUGGGGUUUGCAGCGCUCUGCACUGGUUAAAGAUUUAUCACCUAAAUUGAAGCCUGAGCACCAUCAGCUUGUUGGUAAGGUAAAAGCUUACCAAGGCUAUGACGGUUAGGGGCCUCGAGAGGGGAAACCCCCACACUGGGACUGCGACACGGCCCAGACUCCUACGGGAGGCAGCAGUUUGGAAUAUUGGACAAUGGGCGAAAGCCUGAUCCAGCGACGCCGCGUGGACGAUGAAGGCCUUCGGGUUGUAAAGUCCUUUUGCUAGGGAACAAUAUUUUGAGUGUACCUAGAGAAUAAGAGGUUGCUGACUCUGUGCCAGCAGCAGCGGUAAUACAGAGACCUCAAGCGUUAUCCGGAAUUAUUGGGCGUAAAGCGUACCGAUCGGCGGUUUUAUAAGUCAGAAGUGAAAUCUUCAGGCUCAACCUGGAGUCUGUCUUUUGAAACUAUAAAACUAGAGGGGCAAAGAGGAAGCUGGAACGAGCGGUGUAGUAGUGAAAUGCGUUGAUAUCGCUCGGAACACCAAUAGCGAAGGCAAGCUUCUGGGUGCCUCCUGACGCUGCUAGGACGAAAGCGUGGGUAGCGAAUGGGAUUAGAUACCCCAGUAGUCCACGCUGUAAACGAUGCACAUUAGGCGCUAGAAAGUAUCGACCCUUUUUGGUGCCAAAGCUAACGCGUUAAAUGUGCCGCCUGGGGAGUACGGUCGCAAGACUAAAACUCAAAGGAAUUGACGGGGACCCGCACAAGCGGUGGAGCAUGUGGUUUAAUUCGACGAUAAGCGAGGAACCUUACCAAGACUUGACAUGCAGCUGCAACUCCCAGAGAUGGGAUUCUUUCGAAGGUGCUGCACAGAUGUUGCACGGUUGUCGUCAGCUCGUGCCGUGAGGUGUUCACUUAAGUGUGAAAACGAGCGCAACCCCUAUCAUAAGUUACAAGUGUCUUAUGAAACUGCCGGCGUCUAAGCCGGAGGAAGGUGGGGAUGACGUCAAAUCAGCGUGACUCUUACGUCUUGGGCUACACACGUGCUACAAUGGGUAGGAACAAAGGGACGCCAAGGAGUAAUCCGGAGCAAAUCCUAUAAAAACUACCCUCAGUUCGGAUUGAGGGCUGCAAUUCGCCCUCAUGAAGCUGGAAUCGCUAGUAACCGUGGAUCAGCCUCGCCACGGUGAAAACGGUCUCGGGUUUUGCACACAC
rnacentral:rRNA from 1 species